UACGUAGGUGGCAAGCGUUGUCCGGAUUUACUGGGCGUAAAGCGUGCGCAGGCGGUUUUGUAAGUUUGUCGUGAAAUCCCCGGGCUCAACCUGGGAAUUGCGAUGAAGACUGCAAGGCUAGAAUCUGGCAGAGGGGGGUAGAAUUCCACGUGUGAGCAGUGAAAUGCGUAGAGAUGUGGAGGAACACCGAUGGCGAAGGCAGCCUCCUGGGCCAGCACUG
rnacentral:rRNA from 1 species